CAACCGAAGCGCCGGUAUUCCAAAUCUGUUUAAAAAAUGAGCAGAACUGACUGGACGUGACGCGAUACUGGCUAAUACUUGAGGUGUCGGCGCGACAUCUCCCCCAAGUGACGCGCUGAUUAAAGGUGCUAAGGGACCGUGCGCCUUUGUUUUACUCCUAAUGGUCUUAACCCGGAUUCGCCCCCCCAAGAAUCCGG
rnacentral:sRNA from 1 species